rnacentral:rRNA from 1 species
AUUUUAGUUUGCUUGCAACUGAAGAUGGCGACCGGCGCACGGGUGAGUAACACGUAUCCUAUCUGCCGAUAACUCCGGGAUAGCCUUUCGAAAGAAAGACUCUUACCGGAUGGCAUACGAAUAUCGCAUGAUAUUUUUAUUAAAGAAUUUCGGUUAUCGAUGGGGAUGCGUUCCAUUAGUUUGUUGGCGGGGUAACGGCCCACCAAGACUACGAUGGAUAGGGGUUCUGAGAGGAAGGUCCCCCACAUUGGAACUGAGACACGGUCCAAACUCCUACGGGAGGCAGCAGUGAGGAAUAUUGGUCAAUGGGCGCGAGCCUGAACCAGCCAAGUAGCGUGAAGGAUGAAGGCUCUAUGGGUCGUAAACUUCUUUUAUAUGGGAAUAAAGUUUUCCACGUGUGGAAUUUUGUAUGUACCAUAUGAAUAAGGAUCGGCUAACUCCGUGCCAGCAGCCGCGGUAAUACGGAGGAUCCGAGCGUUAUCCGGAUUUAUUGGGUUUAAAGGGAGCGUAGGUGGAUUGUUAAGUCAGUUGUGAAAGUUUGCGGCUCAACCGUAAAAUUGCAGUUGAAACUGGCAGUCUUGAGUACAGUAGAGGUGGGCGGAAUUCGUGGUGUAGCGGUGAAAUGCUUAGAUAUCACGAAGAACUCCGAUUG